rnacentral:lncRNA from 1 species
AAAUUCUAGCAGCCUCUGACCAGCGGGCGUAGCCCCGCCCCCGUGGGCCCCGCCUUUCCUCAGCUUUAACCCAGCCCGCUCAGGCUUCGGCUCAGUCCUCUGGCCCGCCCUUCUCCAGUUCGGAGUUUCAGCUGCUUCUCGACGCGCGGCUCCGACGCCCCCUACCUCUGCCCAGGAGUCCCGGGAGGCGCCACAUGUCGUCGCCAACAGCAUAGAGAGCUCGCAGUCCAAAGAGCGAGGCCAGACCUACGGGCGGCGGCUAGAGAGGCCGCUGUCGCGCCCUCCGAACGGCCGAGUCCCGAGGAAGCUUCCAGCCAGCCAAUUAGAAAGGAGCCUAGCCGGAAGACCGGCGCUGCGCGAAAGGAAGUGGGGGCUGGCUGGGAGGUGAACUGCGGCAAGGGCAUGGACGUGGGCCCGGCCUACCCUGGAAGAGGCGUCGCUUGCCGUCCGCAAGAGUGGGGAGAACGCUCAGCGGUGGGGGGGUGGGGGUGGAGUCGCAGGUGGCGAAGCCGAACCGAGUCGGAAACUGGACUGUGGAGAGGCGGGGCUAAGGGCGGCCUCGGUAGCGCAGGACGACCUUGCAGACACCGUGGAGACGCGAAAAGGGGAAUAGUGUACCCCAGCCCCGCGCCUGGACGAGGCGGUAGUAAGCAGGGCCAGUGGGCGGAGAGGAUCGCUAGGAUCCAACAAGAGAGGCCCGUAGUCCGCGCUUUUCCAGUCCAAGGCCCUCGACUAGGAGAUUCGGGCUGGGACCGACGGGGUAGGCGUUAAAAAACUGCGCAGGCAGCGUUGUGAUUCCGGGGUUCUAGCUCUGGCUCAUCUUGUGUGUACCGUGCAGCCACCGUACGACCUUUUCCCCUGUCUGGGCCUCAGCUUGCGCCAUGAUAGGAUCAGAUAGCUGGAGGGAUCUCGAGUAGUCCUUCCUGGCGCUACAGGAACAACUUGAGUUGCUUUCGAAAUACCUAAGAGGAGACCGUCCCCCCACCGACCCCCCAACACCUGUUAAUCAGAGCCCUCGUGCUCAGACCCAGCCAGUGUUAUCUAUGCAUUCUUUUGUGUGGAAGAGAAUGGUUCUUCUUUCACCAAAUGUGAAUAUAUGAAAUAAAGGACUUCAAGUUCAAAUCUAAGGUACUUAGACAUCCUUCCUCCUUCUUUCCCCCAGGUACAUGACUUCUGGUUGGGAAGAAGUCUACACCUGGGCUAACAGCUUACUGGGGUCACCUUUUAGACCUGGUUUUGUGAUAGGACAGUUGUAUUUGUUCACCAGUUUUUGAGCCAUGUGGCAGUCCCCAUCAUAGAAGCUGAGAAGACAGAUGAGUAAAGAGCAUUUGUGGCCUCGAGGAACACUUGGUCCGGUGUUUUAAGAAUGGCCUCUGGAGUUCCACAAUUGCUUUGAAAAAUAGCUUUCUUACUUCCUAGCUAUGUGUUCUAUAGCAGUUAACAAUCUUAAGCCUCAGGUUCUUCAUCUAUAAAAUAGGAGGAAAAAAUACCUCAUGAAAUUGUUGUGAGGAUUCAAUAAUGCAUUUAAAUGGUUAGCAGAGCCCCUAGCACAUAGGAAGAGCCUAAUAAAUGUAAGUUGCUAUUAAUUGCAGUGGCAGAGGAGGUGAGUAGGGAAAAACAAUAGAUCUGUUGCAAUAGAAUCGUGAAUACUGGGCUAUGGGAUACUGAGGAAAGAUUCAAAAAAGUCAUUGCAUUUGAGCUGCAUCUUUACAUAUGAGAAAGAGUUUCCUAGGUGGAGAAGGGAGAAAGCCAUUGCAAGCAGAAAAAAACAAUAAAUAAAGGCCUAGGAGUACAAAUAUUGGGAAACUGGGUUCAGAGAUACACUUGCUUUGGGAUUCGGGGCAGGCACCUUUCACAUUCCUUGUGUUGCUGCCCCAAAAUAGCUGAUUUGGGUCUGUUCUUUGUCCCUGGACUUCUGCACCUUAAUUCCUGCCAGCUUGUCUGCAGUUGCUUUCAUGCCCUGAGGCUCGGCCACAUCCAGCUCUUCAGUGAAUACUCCCCAACUAUUGGAGCCCUCGCUGCUCUCCGCUUUUCCCAGUUCCUUACCACUUAAUUUAUUGCCACACAAUUUAGCAGUAAUUAUAUGUUGUCCUGUUAUUUAAUUGUCUCAUUUGUGUAAGUCUAGUCUCCCCAGUUCUUUCCCCCGGGGCAGGGAUGGCAUUUUCCCAUUUUGUGUCCCGCAUAGAGCUUGACACAAACUGUCAAACCAUGUCUGUUGACUGGACACCUUGUGCUGAUGAUAGUUACAGACAAGAGCACCAGACCCCAAUCAGGGAUUUAUUGAUUUGGGUAGGAACGUAUUCAUUCCAUAUACAAACAUUGAAGGGCCCUUCAUGUUUGAAGCUGGUUGAAAAAUUGUGAAGAUGAGGUGUCUGUUUCCACGUGUAAAAUGACAUUAUGACAUCUGUUCCUAGAAAUCUAAACAAGUAACCACUGUGUAGAUGGCAAGGGCAGCUGAAGUCUCACUGGCACAGCAGAUCACCUGUUCAGUGUUGCCCAGAGGAGCGCCAUCAGAAUGACAACUUUGUUCCCGUGCCUUUGGCUUUGCUAAAACCAUUGGCCAUUCUCUUCUUCAGCUCCCAAGGUUGCUCCCCGUUGUUGGCUUGUGGCCCAGUCAAUUUGACCCAGUCCUUCUACAGAGAUAAGCUGUCUAACUUAACAUCAGGAACCUACUGCCCAGAUAGCCACUUCAUUACCUUUUGUUCAUGACACUGUAUACUCAUCACAGCCAGUGUUCCAGACAUUUUUUGUUGUUGAGUCUCGGUUUACAUUAAUCAAAUAUUUUCGUGCUUACUCUGUGCUAGAGAAUGUCCCGGUAUAUAACAAUUUUUAAAAAAUGGAUGUGGUCCCUGCCUUCACAGAGAAAAUAGUCUAGCAGGGCAGACACACUCAGUAGACAAAUAAAAUACAGAAUGGUGUCUUGGUACAGCAUACAAAUUCUCUGAAAUUUAGUGGCUUAAAACAAUUAUUAUCUCUCACAGUUCUGUGAGUUGACUGGGCUCAGCUGGGCAAUUCUGCUGGUCUCACUUCAGGUCUCUCAUGAGGUGGCAGUCAAACGGCACCUGAGCUGCAGCUGGAGUCCUAUGAAGGCUCAACCAGGACACUGGAACAGCUGAGUCUCUUUCCUUCUCCAUGUAGUCUCAGGGCCGUCCCAAAUGAGUGGCUGAACUUAAAUGGUGGCUCAGAGCUUCUGAAUGUACAAAAGUGUAAGCUGCCAGGCUUCUUGAGUUUUAGACCUGGAACCUGCACCUAUACCCUGUUGGCUAAAGCAGUUCAUAGAGUCAGCCCACAAUCAGUGCAGAGGGGAAGACAAAUGUUAGGAAGUGUGGUUUUUUGGAGACCAGCAAGAGCUUUAGUGGGGAAAGUACAGGUGCUAUGAGAACACCUAGGUACGGAAGGUGGGAAGACUUCCUGGAAGCAAUGACAUCUUGACUGAUGAGCCUGAAUGAUGAGGUCUGGGAUCUAGCGAGAUGAAGAAGGGAAAGGGCAAUAGUUCAGGCAGGGAAAAUUGCCGGUGCAAAGUCUCAGAGAGGCAAAGAGAGCACAACUUAAGAGCAGUGUGGCUGUAGCUGGGUGGGGAGUGGGACAGUGGGGGAAGUAGGUGAGGGGGUGGUAUGAGAUAGGGAUAGCCCUUUAAUCUGGAGAGAUAAAUAGCCUGAUCAUAACAUCUAGUAAGCCCCCCUCCCUGAAGAUGUCUGGACUCUGUCCUGAGGGCAUGGGACACCAAGGAAGGAAGCAAGGGCAUGAUCAGACCACAGAGAUCCUAAAGAGGCUACCAGCUACUGUGUGGGGAAUAGAUUAGAGGAGUUAAAUUCUCAUUUGCAUCCAGACCCAUCCAGUGACCUCACCUGUCUCCAAGAAGACUGAGUCAUCACCUCAGCACUAACAUUAGUUCUUGUUGCUUUUUAUUAGUGGGAAUGUUUUUUAAGAUUUAAAAAAAAUUUUCUUAACAUUUAUUUAUUUUUUAGAGAGAGAAAGUAUGCACACGAGCCUGAGUGGGGACAGGCAGAGAGAGGGAGACAGAGGAUCCGAAGUGGGCUCCAUGCUGUGAGUGCAGACCCCAACGCGGGCCUUGAUCUCACAACCGUGGGAUCAUGACCUGAGCUAAAAUCAAGAGUUGGCUGUCCAACCAACUGAGCCACCCAGGCGCCCUUAAGAUUUAUUUUUAAGUAAUCUCCACACUCAAUGUGGGGCUUGAACUCAUAACCUCAAGAUCAAGUGUCACAUGCUCUACUGACUGAGCCAGCCAGGUACCCCUAUUAGUAGAAAUUUUUAUUAGAAAUGCCAGGUCCUUUGUACAAGUUUUUUGUUUUUAUUUUAAAAUGAACAUGUCAUAGGAAGUCUUAUACCUGGUAGAAUUUGGACAUAAGGUUGGCCAGGUGAUCAAACAAUUUGUGCUUAAGUGUAAAGUGUGUUAAGGAAGAGCUUGCCUGCCAAGGACAGGGAGCAGGCCAGAUUCAGUGGACUUUACCCCUCAGUUAAGUAAUGGUCAGUUAAAAGAGCCCCUAUUCUAGGAAAAAGUCAAACAGUACUAAAAGGCUCAAAAAAAAUUAUAAAAUCUUUUCCCUCACUCCUCAUCUCUAAGAUGGGAAUGACAAUUGUAGGCUUCUCGUGAGAUAACGGUAUAUAAAUUGCCUGGCACAUGGUCAAUAAAAGGUGAUGAAGAAGGUUCUAACUUGAGAGCUGCUGUGAGUACAGCUGUGGAUGUUUAGUUGCACACUAGACAAAUAAAUGUAAGGCAUGAAUAGGAGAGGAAAUGACAAGAACAUAGACUCAUUUGGAGAGGUCUGUCUCUUCCCUUUGUUCUAAGGCCAAACUCUGCUCUGAGUCCCAUUCUCUUCCUGCCUCUUCUAGAACCUUGUCACUAUAAUUAACCUGACCCUCAUGCCAAAGCAUACGUGUCUCUACUGGUUAUUUUCUUUGAGCCUAUGAAAUAUACAAGAGCCUUUCCUAUCUUGGGAGGAAAAUCCUUCAUUUGAUCCUCCUGCCCUUUUCAGCUACCAUUCUGUUUCAUUCUCUCUACUGCCAGAUUUCUUAAUUAAGUAGCACACACACUGCUUCCUAUAACUUCACGACUCCUUUGCUUUUCAGUUUUGUCUCCCAGCUUCCAUCGCUGUUCUUCUGACACAGCUGUCAGUGCGGUCGUCAAAGACCACCUCAUUAACCACCAGUGGGCCUUUGCUCAAUCAAUCUCCUUGGCCCAGAGCACUUGACUCAGUUGACUGUCCACUCCUUAAUUCUCACAUACAAAACCACCUCAUCAUCCCACUUCCUUAUUUCUGUCAAUUGUAUCAUUUCCCCAAGCCAUUCAGGAAAGAAACCUUGAACUCAGGGUUGGCUCAACUCCCUUCUCUGCCCUCCCCCACAUAAGUUUUGACUUUUACUGCCAGUAUUAGAAAUUCAUUAAGCUAGUUUUUUAGAAAAAUUUGAUCAGGAUAUGGAGGAGCGGAGGGACAUUUAAUGGACCCUAAAGACAGGAUAUAGUUGGAAUCCAGGAAAGACCAGGACUGUAGACUUAGGAGUCGAUGAAGUGAGCCUUCUCUCUCUAGCUUUCUUUCUGGAAUUCUCAUGAUCUUCACAGACACCCCAAAGGUGCUAGAUACUCCCACACCUACUUAGUCCCCAGGGCCCAUCAAAAAUCACCAUCUUUUGCAUCAGGCCCUUGAAUCUGUCUUCUCCCCAGUUUCCCUUCUACUGCAUUUCCUGUGUUGGUUUACCUUCUGAUCAUUCUGUGUCUGCCAUUGCCUCUUCCUCCUCCUGUCCCUGAGUCCAAGCAUUGCCCAUGUUUCAGUUCUCUGUCCAAUGCCCUUUUCUUGAACUCUCUUCUGUGUUGUUGACUCCUAAAGGAGAGGAGACUCUAGGGGCGCAGGGGUGGCUCAGUUGAUUGAGCAUCUGACUCUUGGUUUCGGCUCAGUUCAUGUUCUCAUGUUUCAUGAGAUAGAGCCCUGCAUUGGGCUGCAAAAAGACAGUGCAGAGCCUGCUUGGGAUUCUCUCUCUCUCCCUCUUUCUCUGCCCCUACCCCCCUCGUGCACACACACGCGUGUGUACACGUGCCCACAUGUGCACGUGUGCGGACUCUCUCAAAAUAAAUAUAUAAACUUUAUAUUUAAAAAAAAAAAAAGGAGAAGAGAGUGGUUAAGAGUUUGGAUUCCAGAGUCCUAGUGGCCUGCGUUUGAAUCUCCCACCAUUUUCUAGCUGUGUGAACUUGGGAAAGUGACUUGAAUUUUUUGAGCCUAAAUUCCUCAUCUGUGAAAUGGGGAUACGGGGAUAGUACUGGUACCUUCCUGACAGGGUUGAUGUGAGGAUUCACUGAGCCAUCACAUGUAAAGUGCUUAGUUAGCAUAGCACCUGGCACACAGAAAGAACUCAAUAAAUGGCAACAAUUAUUAGGCUUAGCCUUAGCCUUGUUCUUUUUCCUGAGUUCUAGCCUGACAUCAUCUGCUAGACUUUUCCAUUAGAUGUCCUGCUGUGACCUCAGAUUCACCUGUCAGAAUUCUCUGGAUACUGCUAGAAGAUGCAGAUUUCUGAGAGCUGGAGGGUGGAGGGGACCUGAACAAAGAAAGGUGGUCUCAUCGAGUCUUUGAAGGAACCCCCACCUAACCUCAGUCAGGCCUCAGCAGAGAAGACUCUAAACAGUUUCCCUGUAAGCCUUCAGACCCUUUGCCGGCUGACUCUUGGAAUCUAGGAGAGCAGGCAGGGCUGCCAUUAAGAGAGCAAAUGAAGGCUGUGAAUCCAACCUUUAAAAAAAAAAAAGCCCUGGGGGUGGUGAGAGGAGAUGUAGCGGGAUCAGUGGAGCUUUGAGGUGGGUGUGAAAGGUGAGAACAGCACCCUCAGGGCGCUGAGGCUGGCUUAGGCAGGGGCCUCCCUCCACUGCCUGGGAUUUGGCAGCUCACAAGCCAGAGGCACUCCUGUUUUUAGCUGAGCUUUUGCAGAUCUCCUUUGCCACCCUUGUGAACAUUCCUCAUUAAGCUCAACGUGGGGAGCAGGGUGUACAGCUUUCACCCGCCCUUCAGCCCCUUGCUCCUACCUGCCUCUCUGCUUCUGGGUGGCAGCAUUCCUACUGCAUUUGUGGGCAGGGGACGGUAUCCUCAGAGCUGUUUGCUCUGAGCCGGAGUGGCCAAAGAGGUAAGAGCUCUGACCCUAAAGCAGAAUGUGUCUCUAUUUGAAGGCCCCUGUUGGAAGGAACUGGUGAAACAGUAUAAAAGACUCAAGAUUCCCUCAGGCCUCAGGGUCCCACCAGCCAUGCUGGGUGAUUCACAACAAAUAGAGGUCCUAGGCCAGUCACUGUUCCAGGGCUUGGGCUUGCAAUAGGAGAGGCUCCUGGCCCCAUGGGGCAAACUGUUCAGGGGGUGGUGGACAUUAAACAUAACAAAACUGAUGAUACAUUCCAUCUAGGAGCACUGCUAGCAAGGAGAAGCCCAGCUGCUAUGAGAACAGAGGGCAGAGAUUACAUUUGGGGAGGGGAAAAUCAGGGAGAGUUUCCCAGAUGAUGUGCCAAGUAAAUUCGGGCUCAAAGAAAGGACAGGCUGGUUUGAGGUGGAGGGUGGAAAAGAGCCUUGCAAGCAGAUGAAACGGUACACGCAAAGGUCCUGAGGCAGAAGGGAACUAGGCUUUUGGGUGGUUAAUGCAGCCAGCAGAAGCUCAGUAAUGAAGGGGGACAGUGGCCUCUUGAAGGCCGCAGAGCUACCAGCAUGGGUUAUGCAGAGCUUUGCAGACUACGAUGAGAAUUUGAGCUUUUAUCCUAAUGAUGAUAAUGAGCGUUCAAUUUUAUGUAUACGAGUGCUCUACUAAGUACUUUACGUGCGUUUUCUCAUUUGCUUUUCAUAAGUCCCCUUGGAGGCUGGUGCUAUUAUUCCCAUUUUACAGAUAAUGAAACCAUGGCCCCGGGAAGUUAAAUUGCUCAAGAUCACACAGUUAGCACGGCAGAGCUGGGAUAUGAACCCGGAUAUCAGGAUCCAAAGCCUGCCCUCUUAAUGUCUGCACGGCCCUCGGCUGAGAGCUGAGAGCUAAGGAUGGCCUUUGAGCUCAGUUCCAUCUUCCUCAGACCUAGGUUCCUCUAUCGCCGCACGCAUGUCCCCGAUCCUUCUGCCCAGAAACCCAGGCAGAGGUUUGUUUUGGCCAAAGGAGAAGCGGGCCGCGCCGCGGAUUCACCCCCCCGCCCGGCCCCCACGGAGGCGAGGGGCUGGCUGGGGCGCGGGCGCCGCGGAACCGCCAAGCGCGGCCGCAGUGCGGAGGGCGCUGGCGGGUGCGCGCUAGCGCUGCCUGGCAGCUGUGAAAUCUGGAGGUAAUGGACCCCAGAGAGGAGCGUGGGGCGGGCGCCCCUCCGCGUCCGGCAGGGGGCUCCGUCUCCCCGUGAUCCCGGGGCCGAGCGCCUCAACCCCGCCGCCCGGAUCACGUUCCCUCCAGCCUUGAGGGGGAAAACAGCGUUCAUUUCUGAUUAAAAAUGACUAUUUUUUAAAUGGGCUUCAUUCUUUAUUUCUUUCUGUCCUCUCCCAGGGCCAGAAAGAGGCGGAAAGCGACACUGAGAAUCCAUUCCAAACGAGCAGCCAAGAGGAGACGCGGCAGCUCCCAGAUGUUGAUGUUUUGUUUUUUGACAUAAAUCUUUGCACUCAUAUGGGAGUUUUCAUUGAUUCAUGUUCCCAUCUGCUGAAUUUCCUCUUAUUUAUUUAAUAUGGCUUUUUGGGGAAAUCUUGCUCCGAAGCUCUGGAGGAGCGUAAACUGUGGCAACCGCUGCACCCCAUCCUCCCGCCUCCAAACGUUGGCUUGCUGGGGGGAAGGGAGAGGCAGUGGCACCCUGCAGAAAAGGCCUGCUUCACGUUCUCAUCUUGGGGGACAGGAGCCCUAGGCACGUGCUAACGUGACUGUUCCCGUGCUUGGGGCCUGCCUGAGGCUGUAAACCCGAGAAAGAAACAGCAUGAGACAGUCACAUUGAGUCUCCCUUCCUUUUGCUUCCUGCCCACCCACAAUACCGCCUUCCCUUCAAGCUAAAACACUCUCGGUUCAACAAUUUGGAAACCAGGAAACAUUUAACAGUGGAUGUCCGCAUAAAAUGUUACACUAUCUCCUCCUCCCCGGGCUCAUCCUGCACACCCCCACCCCUGUAGUAAUUCCUAGUAAUGAAGAGCUUCUAUUUUAGAGUCAGACCACCUAAGUUUGAAUCCCGAGUGUAUGAAUUCUUGAGCCAAAUAGCUUCU